AAAUCCGGUUGAUCCUGCCGGAGGCUACCGCUAUUGGAGUUCGAUUAAGCCAUGCGAGUCUAGAGGCCUAGCCUCGGCGUACCGCUCAGUAACACGUGGGUAACCUACCCUAUGCUGGGGGAUAAGCUCGGGAAACUGAGAAUAAUACCCCAUAAUUCACUACGCCUGGAACGGUGAGUGGAUGAAAGCUCCGGCGGCAUAGGAUGGGCCUGCGGCGUAUCAGGUUGUAGGGGGUGUAAUGUACCCUC
rnacentral:rRNA from 1 species